rnacentral:rRNA from 1 species
UACGUAGGUGACAAGCGUUGUCCGGAUUUACUGGGCGUAAAGAGCGCGCAGGCGGUCGAUCAAGUCGAGUGUGAAAGCCCCCGGCUCAACUGGGGAGGGUCAUUCGAUACUGAUCGACUCGAAGGCAGGAGAGGGUAGUGGAAUUCCCGGUGUAGUGGUGAAAUGCGUAGAUAUCGGGAGGAACACCAGUGGCGAAGGCGGCAUCCUGGACCGACACUGACGCUGAGGCGCGAAAGCUAGGGGAGCAACGGG